UUGUUCUCAAACUCCUCUCCCAAGCCCAUCAGGGAAUAAAACAACUUGUCUCUAGUGUUCAGGUUUAUUUCUCCUGCUAAGAUUAUAUUGUCAGGCCAGAUUUCAUUUUUAAAGGUGGAACUGCAAGUAUUAUUUGAAAGUGGAUAUUAUCUGAAAGAUUGUCCUGUUCUCUUUCUGUGUGCUGGAGAAUCCAGUUUAUCUUACACCCAGGUGUCAUCUACCUGGGUGUUUUUCCUUGUCUUCAUUUUGUGUGACAUCGAAUAAAUUGUCUGGAC